rnacentral:sRNA from 2 species
GAUGUUGUUAAAGGGGAGUAGCUGCCCAUUUUGGGUUGAUAAAGUCAACAUGCUGGCCUUUGGCCUGGCUUUAUCGGACGUUUGUCAAGUGAGACCUUUAACACAAUGCUUUGCAUUGUGUUAAAGGUCU